GUCUCCCUCUCUCUCUGCCCCAUCCCCACUCAUGCUCUGUCUCUCUGUCUUAAAAAUAAAUAAAACAUUAAAACAAUUUUUUUUAAAAAUUGGGGAAGUAGGAUCAAGAUACUUUGUUAACAGGCAUAUUCUCAGGUACUACAUAGUAGAUCCAUUGAAUAUAAUUAAGUUUCUACAAGAUGAUUGUUGUUGCCACAUCUACUUUGGUGAGUGGGAGAUACAAUUUAGUUGGUAAAAGAUUCUGUUAAGACUUAGAAUGAAGCUAAUGUACAAUUUUUAUUAGUAAUAUUUUCAAACUCGUAUGUGUUACUUAUUUAGAAGAAUUUACAGAACUGUUGAGUAAUUUAAAGUGUAAAAUUUCUGUAACCUGAUGUAGUAUUGACACCAAAAUAGAGUUGGGUGCCUGAAAUAUGCCUCAAGAUGAUUUUGAACCUAAGUAAGUUUUCUUCUCCUAAGACAGGCAUAAUUCUGCCUUGCCUACCUUACAGGUGGUCAGAUAAAGAGUAAAAAGAACUUUGGAAAGUGUAAAGGCAUCUUAUAUUUUUGUAAUCCUGUAGUGUAGCACAGGAAAUCAUGCUAUUAUUGAGGCAUGUGCAUGAAUACUUCAAUGUGUAUAAUCUCAGUACUCUAGUAGGUGACUAUCUUUAGACCCCGUAUCAGUGAUCACCUUGACAGUGUCAGAUAAUUUCCCCGAGGGAUGACCACCUCAUGACUUUAAAUUGGUGCAAGGUACGAUUUUGAAAACUUACAGGAAUUGGGGAGAGGCUUUAAUGGGUUAUCACUAGUUAUGUAGUGUUUUGUCCUUAAUGAAAUUUCAAAAUUCAGGCAUUUUCUUCUGUUAAGGACUGAGUGCCUGGAAAUUGGUGUUUGGCAUCAGGAUGAUGAAGCCAUCAAUGCAAAAAGUGAGACUAGUCAAGCAGCUGAAGAAAAUUGUUUUUAUGGGAUUUUACAGUUAAUAGACUUCUUGAACUUUUGGUCUUCACAGUAGUCACAAUAGCCCUGCCAAAGCAGGCAGGAAGGGCCUGUCUAUUGUAAACAUUUUGUCAAAUAGAAAACAGCCUCAGAGAAAAUAAGGAAGUGAAUAGGUGUCAGAUAAAUACGAGAAUCCAGGGUUUUCAUUUUUCCUUCCUCAUGUUCCAUAAUCACUUAAUUCCAUUUGAGAUAGUUUUGAAUUCAAAUUGUAGAUGUAAUAAUAAUGGUCAGCAUUUUUCAUCAGGCCUUGGAUCAGAAUUGUUGCCAUUGGAUGCCAUGUCUCUUUAGCCUAUUUUCCACUAAAUGUUUAAGAGAACGAUGAUAGUGAGCCAACAACAGUCUUUUGAAAGACUGUAAGGUGUUAAUAAUGCCUUUUUAUGAAAUACCGUGAUCUGCCCUGUACCUUUUGGCAGAGAGCCAAAAUUUGCACUAUUCUCUGGCUACCCACACAUAUUGUGCUGGGGAGUUAGACUUGAGUUGUCUAGCUGCCUUAAUGACUCUGGUUGUAUUCCACCUCUAAAUCUUGGCAUGCGUCUAGAUUCUGUCCUGCAUCUACUUCUUGCUCUGUCCGUACUACAAUCUCUUUAGUAAUUUCAUUCAGUCUCAGUUGCAUUAAAAAAAAAAAAAAAAAAAAAGCUCUAUAUGUGUGAUUUCAUUCUCUAUUUUCAGUCUUCCCCUCUCCUUGAAAUUGCAAACUUUUAUAUCCACUAACAACUUGAUCACCUCCCCAGUAUCCAAUGGAUAUCUUAAAGUUCAGUGAGUGAAAACAGAAGACUUAUUCUCAAACGUGAUCUUUCCUCCAGUCUCUCCCAUCUCAGUAAAUACCCCACCUCCUUCCCAGUUGCUGAAUCCAAUACUAUAAGAACUGCUCUUGGAUCUUCUUAGUAUUUAAUUUAUUGGCAAGCUUUGUCAACUCCACCUUCAAAGCAUAUCCCAUGUCGUUGAUAUCACUGCUUGUUGUUUACCCAGCAUCUGUUCCCCCUUCCUCUUUUCUAACAAAUAAUCGUUUUUUUUCCCUUAAGUAUCCAUCCUCUUUUCACAUAAGCCAUGUGACUCAAGGCAAGUCAACCCCAUUCCCAGUUAGGGAGGGCUCUGCUUGAUCUUUAGUCCGUUUUAACUCCAUCUCUCAUACAAAUGAAUGGAUGAGGGAUGGGUAGGCUUAAAGAAAUAUGGGUCAAUGAACAGGGCUAGGGGCAUCUGGCAAGGACGAGUCCUGGCUUUUGAAAUAGCCACAUAAAGUAAGCGUCUCCCUCUAGGUAUAAAUAAGGAGCAUAUAGUCUCAAUUGUUAGUAGCAGUCAUCUAACAAAUAUUCCACUCUAAGGCUUAAGAUGAUUGGAAAGUCUGGAAGAAUACACUUCUUUGAUAAUAUCAUUGAGGCUGCUCUGGCCCUAAGCUUCCUGUAAAAUAAGCAUACAAUUGUCCGUAUGUCAGAAAUCUUAGGUUGGGUAUUUGGUUACUUGUAUCCAGAAACAACUGAUAAAUUCAGAAUCUAUCUACUACUACUUACUAGCAUCUUAAUCUAAACCAUUGCCAUCAUGCACUAGGAUUUACUGCAGUGGUCACCUAACUAGUUUCCUACUUUUACUUUUUUCUACCCUACAGUUUUUUUUCUGUAAAAAACAGGGGUCUUGUUAAAAGUUUAGGUCACGUCACCCCUUUCUUGAAAUGUUGCUCUCGGGUGCUCCUUAAGGCAGCCUAAAACUGCUUAUAAAGCCCAGUAUGAUUGGCUUCUGCCUAUUUCAGGUACAUCACUUGGUUUUCAGUAAUGUCUUAUUUUGGUGACUUCUGAAGAGUAAAUUAAAGCUAAAUCACUAAGCAGAAAGCAUUAUACUCAAAUGCUUGAACACACCAGUGGUCUUUCCACAGGUUGGUCCCUGGAAUGCUUGCCCUCAUCUCUUCACAGGUCUGGACUUCAGAAGGAUUGGCAGAGCCAGUAUAGACCAGGAAAUAGAGUAGAGACUGUUUUUGUUUGUUUGUUUUUUUAAAGCAAACAAAAAAAACAAAAACCAAUGAGGACUUCUGCCUUCUUGGUUAUAAGGCACAAAUCCAUGUAAUAAGUCAUGUCAUCUCAUUGGUUGUACCUGGACAAUUCAAACCUUGUAUCCUGCCAGAAGAGGUCAGUAGGGUCACCAGUGAUUGUGAAAUACACUUUUUUUGUUGUUGCCUGCAGUGAAUGUCUUGCAAAAAAAUCUUCAUAACUCUUGAUUUGACCAAAAUAUGACACCAUUGUUCAAUAGCUAUUCAAUAAGCCAAUCACAUGAAUCUUGUUUGUAUUUUCAAGAGUAAUCCUUAGGGUAAAAUGAUUUGCUUUUGUAUACAUUAGUAUAAAUAAGUAAAGAUAAAUUAGGAUGUUUGAACUUUGCACAUCUCAUACUCAAAGACUCAUGGCAUUGUAUGUAUAGAAACGUGUGGUCCAAGUUAAUAGAAUAGGUCUUCAUGAUUUUGAUGGUGAUAUCUCCAAGUAGAGGAAUGGACAGAUUUUAUGAGAAGAGCAAUAGCUUCUUUUUGCUAGGGCUAAGAAGGUCACUAUCAUUAACCACAAAGUUGACAAUUUGUGUUUAUGUCAUUUAAUAUUUUUCAGUAAUUUCCCCUUUGGUGAUUAAGAACAGAGCAUAUAGAUACACUAAAUUUGGCUUUGGAGACAUGUAUCUUUCCUCUGAAGCAGGACUGCAGGAAAAAAAAUCUUACAAAGGUGUCUUGCUAAAAUGUGUAAAAAUUAUAAGCUAAGUUUUAAGUGCUAUUGAUUUAUAUAUGAGAGGUUUCUUCAUACUUUCAGUUUAGUUUGUUAAAUAAGCUUAGUAAAACUUUUGGUGGCUAAGUUUUCACUGAUACAAUAGUCUCAGUCUAUAUAUUACUAAUUGAUGGUAGCAUAGGGGAUUAACUGCUGUUAGAUUUUAUUUUGUUUUUCAAGUUAAAAUUGUUGAUAGACUAAAAAUUGUCUCUUUUUAAAGCCAUCGAAAGAGAGCUUAUGUACUUUUCCAUGUAAAGUUUAUUCCUUAAUUUCUCUUGUCUGAAUGAAAUUGGUAAUCUCAAGGUACAGAAAAGUCAAAAUAUUUGGGAAUUUGAUGAGUAAUGUCUAAUAGUAUUCCUAGGGAGCUUGUGGAUGAAUGUGCAAAGAUGGGGUCCACACAUCCCUCUUUGUUUCAUUUGGAGCUUUUUGACCUUUAUUUGUGUUAGAAAUUGGGAUUCAAUGUAAGAUUUCAUUUGAAAAAAUCGAUGUGGCUGCCUUUCUUUAAAGUUUGAUAACAGUGAUCUAGAUUUUCUGUGAUAUUGGCAAUUUUUCCUAAGUACUACCAGGUAAGUUAGGUUUUGCUUUUUGUCCAGAUUCAGGGUAAAACUACUACAUACUGUGAAAAUUAUAAACAUUUUUUUUUC